AACACUGAAAAGGUCAAAGGUCAACUUUAACAUUGAAAGGUGUAAAAACAAGUACAGGAUAUUUACAAUAAGUAGAUCUCAGUGCAGGAAAGUGUCGUUCCAACACUGAAAAGGUCAAAGGUCAACUUUAACAUUGAAAGGUG